AUGACUCAGUCUCCAGCCUCCAUGUCUGCAUCUGUGGGAGAAAGUGUCACCAUCACAUGUCAAGCAAAUGAGAAUAUUUACAAUUGCUUACAUUGGUAUCCGCAGAAACAGGGAAAAUCUCCUAAGCUCCUGAUCUAUGCUGCAACCUAUUUGGCAGAUGGUGUGCCAUCAAGGUUCAGUGGCAGUGGAUCUGGCACACAGUAUUCUCUCAGUAUUAACAGCCUGCAGCCUGAAGGUGUUGCAACUUAUUACUGUCAAAAUGCUUUAAGUGAUUCAAGCCUUGACAUAAACCACCCAGGGAAGCAGAAGUGA